rnacentral:other from 17 species
GAACUGCUGUGGUAUACGAAUUCAUACCUAUGUGUUGACCGACUAUUUUUGUAUUACUAGGGAGACAAAGAUCCUCUAACAGUAUGCAAGCUGGCACACCCAGAAGCAACUAAGUUAGAAACGCGUCACCCACCUGCUUUUAGCGUGCGGGAUCAAUACAAUCCAUGGAUAACCGGUACCAAUACAGCAUUUUU